AUUUUAGGGUUAUCUCACUUUUGUUCUCCACCAUUAAAGAGGUUAAAUCGACUCCUCAAUCCGUCAAAACAACUUAGUAAUCUUAUUUUAUGAGAAAUAGCCAACACAUCAAUCUUCCUUUCUGAUUUGAAGAUACGACGCUUCUCCUCCACCGUUCAAGUGCGGUUGCUCCGGUUAUGGGAAGCUAGGAACGUCCGGUGGCUACGAACUCAUAGGAGUAUAUAUGCUCUUACUGGAUUCACAUGUUGUUUAUGUAUAAAGCUUGCGUUCAUAAUUAAAAAAAAAAAAUCAGGUGUGUUAAAUCCUCAUUAUCAAGCUUUCCUAUUCAGAAUUUUGUUUGACAUCUUUUGAAUGAGAAAUUUUGAAACCAUUCGUUGAUUCUAAUGUCAUAAGAGGAUCUUGCGUUAUGUGCUUUUGUGGUUUCUACAAAGGAAUCCAGGUUUGCGAUUAGACCUACAUAAUGCCUAGAAGGUUGAUGUAAUAUUUUCAAUUUCCUUUCUGCAGGGUAAGCCUCGCCGCGCCUCGGUUAGCACAAAGAAGCUCCCACCUGAGUAAAUCUUUAUCGCAGUCUGGACGCACACUUCUACAUGUCAUGAAUUUAGUGACGCACAGACCUUAAGUAACGUGAAGAUGAUUUGCUAACAUGAAGACUGCAUACGACAAGAAAAAUUCAAGAAAGCAGUGCAGUGUGAGAAGUCAGGCAACAACAUUGAUCUAUAAGAACUUUGAGGCAGAUCAAGUCGUGGAUUGUAAGUGGAAGCACAAGGAUUUUGGUAAUUUUGUUAAAUUGAAUUGCGGAAGCAAGGGUUUCAGCUAUCAAGACACUCAAUUGGAUAGGACUUAGCUGGCAUCAUCUUUGAAUGGUCUUUAUACGGACGGCAUGGAAAAGCUUUCUUGGUCAAUCAAACGCAUAUGGUACAAGAUCGAUGCUCCACUGAAUGAGCAGAAAGCAAGGCUUCUAAUGAUGGUUCUACUUCUCCACCACAAUGGAGCUGCGAAAAUAGGGUCAAACUUCCAAUGAAUUAAGGUUGUUCUCAACUCUGAUUGUGCUAUGUACAAUACAAGUGAUCUCAAGCUGUCUAAUUAUUUCUCUAACGAUCUGUUUCUUUGUUGAGGGAAGUAGUCGAAGAAGAUUUCACACCCUUCGCUGGGAAAAAAAAACCUCCUUGAAGACCAAAGAAGAGACCAAGAACUGUUCAGAAGCAAAUGAAUAGGAAGUAACACAGGCUCUUAUGACGCCCCUGAGGCUGCGGAAACAUGAUUAAAGGUGU